rnacentral:rRNA from 1 species
GACGAACGCUGGCGGCACGCUUAACACAUGCAAGUCGAACGAGAGAAGAGAAGCUUGCUUUUCUGAUCUAGUGGCGGACGGGUGAGUAACACGUGAGCAAUCUGUCUUUCAGAGGGGGAUACCGAUUGGAAACGAUCGUUAAUACCGCAUAACAUAACUGAACCGCAUGAUUUGAUUAUCAAAGAUUUAUCGCUGAAAGAUGAGCUCGCGUCUGAUUAGCUAGUUGGUAAGGUAACGGCUUACCAAGGCGACGAUCAGUAGCCGGACUGAGAGGUUGAUCGGCCACAUUGGGACUGAGACACGGCCCAGACUCCUACGGGAGGCAGCAGUGGGGAAUAUUGCACAAUGGAGGAAACUCUGAUGCAGCGAUGCCGCGUGAGGGAAGAAGGUUUUAGGAUUGUAAACCUCUGUCUUCAGGGACGAAAA